rfam:Synechococcus WH7803 complete genome sequence.
ACAACGGAGAGUUUGAUCCUGGCUCAGGAUGAACGCUGGCGGCGUGCUUAACACAUGCAAGUCGAACGAACCUUCGGGUUAGUGGCGGACGGGUGAGUAACGCGUGGGAAUCUGCCCUCAGGAGGGGGAUAACGGCUGGAAACGGCCGCUAAUACCCCAUAUGCCGAGAGGUGAAAUGAAUUUCGCCUGAGGAUGAGCCCGCGUCUGAUUAGCUAGUUGGUGAGGUAAGAGCUCACCAAGGCAUCGAUCAGUAGCUGGUCUGAGAGGAUGAUCAGCCACACUGGGACUGAGACACGGCCCAGACUCCUACGGGAGGCAGCAGUGGGGAAUUUUCCGCAAUGGGCGAAAGCCUGACGGAGCAACGCCGCGUGAGGGAUGAAGGCCUCUGGGCUGUAAACCUCUUUUCUCAAGGAAGAAGAUCUGACGGUACUUGAGGAAUAAGCCACGGCUAAUUCCGUGCCAGCAGCCGCGGUAAUACGGGAGUGGCAAGCGUUAUCCGGAAUUAUUGGGCGUAAAGCGUCCGCAGGCGGCCCUUCAAGUCUGCUGUUAAAAAGUGGAGCUUAACUCCAUCAUGGCAGUGGAAACUGUUGGGCUUGAGUGUGGUAGGGGCAGAGGGAAUUCCCGGUGUAGCGGUGAAAUGCGUAGAUAUCGGGAAGAACACCAGUGGCGAAGGCGCUCUGCUGGGCCAUAACUGACGCUCAUGGACGAAAGCCAGGGGAGCGAAAGGGAUUAGAUACCCCUGUAGUCCUGGCCGUAAACGAUGAACACUAGGUGUCGGGGGAAUCGACCCCCUCGGUGUCGUAGCCAACGCGUUAAGUGUUCCGCCUGGGGAGUACGCACGCAAGUGUGAAACUCAAAGGAAUUGACGGGGGCCCGCACAAGCGGUGGAGUAUGUGGUUUAAUUCGAUGCAACGCGAAGAACCUUACCAGGGUUUGACAUCCUGCGAACCUCUUGGAAACGAGAGGGUGCCUUCGGGAACGCAGUGACAGGUGGUGCAUGGCUGUCGUCAGCUCGUGUCGUGAGAUGUUGGGUUAAGUCCCGCAACGAGCGCAACCCACGUCUUUAGUUGCCAGCAUUUAGUUGGGCACUCUAGAGAGACCGCCGGUGAUAAACCGGAGGAAGGUGUGGAUGACGUCAAGUCAUCAUGCCCCUUACAUCCUGGGCUACACACGUACUACAAUGCUACGGACAAAGAGCAGCAAGUUCGCGAGGACAAGCAAAUCUCAUAAACCGUGGCUCAGUUCAGAUCGUAGGCUGCAACUCGCCUACGUGAAGGAGGAAUCGCUAGUAAUCGCAGGUCAGCAUACUGCGGUGAAUACGUUCCCGGGCCUUGUACACACCGCCCGUCACACCAUGGAAGUUGGCCACGCCCGAAGCCGUUACUCCAACCCUCGGGAGGAGGACGUCGAAGGUGGGGCUGAUGACUGGGGUGAAGUCGUAACAAGGUAGCCGUACCGGAAGGUGCGGCUGGAUCACCUCCUAA